CAGGACGAACGCUGGCGGCGUGCCUAAUACAUGCAAGUCGAACGGUCUUUUCUAUGGAAGCUUGCUUCCACUGAGAAGAUAGUGGCGAACGGGUGAGUAACACGUGGGUAACCUGCCCAUAAGAGGGGGGAUAACAUCCGGAAACGGGUGCUAAUACCGCAUAGUUUUCUUGAUCGCAUGAUCGGGAAAGGAGAGACGGCCUUUGUGCUGUCGCUUAUGGAUGGACCCGCGGCGUAUUAGUUAGUUGGUGAGGUAACGGCUCACCAAGACGAUGAUACGUAGCCGACCUGAGAGGGUGAUCGGCCACAUUGGGACUGAGACACGGCCCAAACUCCUACGGGAGGCAGCAGUAGGGAAUCUUCCGCAAUGGACGAAAGUCUGACGGAGCAACGCCGCGUGAGUGAAAGAAGGUUUUCGGAUCGUAAAACUCUGUUGUCAGAGAAGAACAAGUUGGAGAGUAACUGCUCCAGCCUUGACGGUAUCUGACCAGAAAGCCACGGCUAACUACGUGCCAGCCGCCGC
rnacentral:rRNA from 1 species